UGCCCACUAGGGUGGGCAAGUAUCAAAGUGGUCCAUCAAUAGACCACUCAUUCUGACUGGGUUUUCCAGGUUUGUAGGUUUUGGCUACUGUUUGCAGAAUUUGCAAAUAAACCCCCACCCCUUUCAAACACCGCCUCUCAUCUUUCUCCUUCAAUUCCAAAUCCAAACCCUCCAUCUCCUUCCUCUUCCUCCUCUCUCGUUUUCCUCCUCAGCUUCCAAGCCCUCCUUUACUGCACAACCUCCGCCAUGAUCCUCGCCGAGUUCAUGGGCAUCAUUGCCGCUCGCGCCCUGUUCCGAACAAACCACACCAGCAGCAGCAACGGUUGACGCGGGUUUGUGUCGUUGUUUUUGGGGCUGUCUAUGUUGUCAUUUGGUUGGGAUCGAAUGGAAUGCUUCCCAUUUUCCAAACAGGGUGAGAAUUGUGUGAGGAUUUGGCCCUUGUUGCUCCGUUUUGUGGAUUUCCGGUCAAUUGAUAGAGGUUAGGGUAAUCGAAGAGAGAUGCAAGGACAAUGCGUCUAUGAAGUAAGCACAUAAGAACUGGCCUCUUAUCUAUUCACCUACAAAGACCAACUCUACCAGUAUCAUUAUCUUUCACAGGCAUCACUCAAGAAGAUCAAGAUUUUGGGAGAUGGAUCAAUUAAGUAGUAAUCAUUCUAGUAGAUGGAAACUGGAAGAUGAAGGAAAGUAAAGAACUCCUAAUGAGAAAAAGAAAUGCAAAGGCGGAACUCUUGAUAUUGAUGCGGAUAAGGAAUGAUUAGAAUAAGGGGAUAGCAGAGAAAAUCUUAUGCAGUAAGAAUAAUAGCAGAAGCCAUGAAGAGGAUUCUUAUGUGGAUUGGGAGACUAAAACUAUGGAGAGUGCAAAGCCAACAUGAUAGAGAAGGAAAAAAGUCACAAAGGUGCAACAAGGAUAGUUUAAAGUGAAGUUUUAAUAAGAAAGUUGUAAUGUCAAGUGUGUAGAACAUCUAGAAUAUGACUUAUGUACUCUUUCACAGUAAUGUAUUGUUGAAUUUCAAUAGUUGUACUCUUGGUAUAUGACUUUGCUCCAAUAUAUUGAAAAAGAAAUACACUCAAUGGAUUAAACUUUGAAUA